rnacentral:tRNA from 1 species
GGAGGGGUAUUUCUAAUUGGUAAGAUAGCGGUCUCGAAAACCGCCGGGUGAAAGCCCUCGAGGGUUCGAAUCCCUCUCCCUCCGCCA